GGACUGAAUGUGCAUUUAGAAGAAAAAGAGGGGAGGGAGACGACUCCAAGGGCUUUUCCCUAAACAGUUGGAAAAAUGGAGCUGUCAUCUGAGAUGGGCCUCGUGUUAGCAUUGAUAACCUUCACAUGUGAGGGAUUAAUGCACGUGGGGAGGAGCGGAGAGGGGAGGCCCCCACCCAGGUACUCCAGUUACAAAGCCUGGUACAGUGAGCGGCGAGCCACCACCGCGGGUAGAGCUCUUCAGCACUGGCUGCUCCCAGCGAGACAGCAGCAAGAUUUUCUUCACCUGGCCUCUCUCUGAUCAUCAGUAAUUGCUCUUGGGGACCAAGUAGACAUGAGUCUAAUCAGUCAGGAGUGAGUACCUGGCAGGUUUUGCUGUCUGAUAUCAUGAACUCGAGAGGAAGCAGAGCGGGUUCUGCUUUGGGAAGGUUAGAAACAUCUCAUGCUAACAGCCUAGUGGGAAGGACUCGGCUUGACGUCUUCCGUCUUGACCAUGGAAGGCCUCACGAGACGGUGGAGCACUUAACUUGACUCUACCUACCGGUGACAGUUUAUUCAUUCAUUCAAGCUGGAAGUUUAAGGAUUUUCAUUUAUAAAAGCCGAACUGUUGAGAUAGAAGCUAAGAGACUGGAGAUCGAACAUCAAGUGACCCUUGAAGAGCUACAAUGCUUAAAUGCGCUCUUUCAGCAAUGAAGAGUAAAUUCUCUGUAAUUGUCACUUCUUAAUGGAUUUGGAAACAAAUUGUGAAAGCAUCAGAGAAACGAACAAAGGGGUAACGUGUUAGAAGUUGACAGAGUUCAGGUAAGUCCAAUUAGACAUUCAGUUCUUGAGAUUCUUGCUCCCAGACUAAACAGAAUGCAACUGUGUUCAUAGCUAAUGAUUCUUUUUCCCUCCUAGGAGUAUGAGAAGAGAGGAAGACAGCUGCUGGAUAUGGAAACUUUCAAAUGCAUAAUGAAGCAGAGCAUGAGGUCACAGAAGAGAGUAAGUGGGUUUUAUAAAUGUUGGAGCAUUGCGGCCACAGUUAAGACGUUAACCCUGGGGGCCAGCUAGGCCUGGUGAGCUAUCUGCAUGAUCACGCUCAGCUCUGAACUGUGAUUUCUGCCGAGACCCAGACUGAACAGCUUCUAUGGGAAAAUACUUUUAAAUUACUCAGUACAUUAGACCAGCAAGAUAUUUAGAGACUUUUCUGUAAAAAGAGAAAAAAGCUUUUAUUAGAUCACUGGUUGUUUCCGAAGAAUUUGGGAACUUCUCCCAUCCCUACACUGCUGGAAUUAAGUAUUUUAAAUAUUCUCUCUGCCAUCUUGGUUAGCCAUUUUUUUAGCCCAGAAUAUGAAUCUUAUGGAAUAUCUUAGUCCAUUCAGGCUGCCGUACAAAAACCCAUAAAAUAAGUGGCUAGAUAGCAAGCACUUGUUUCUCACAGUUCCAGAGCCUAGAACUGAGGUCAGGGUGCAGACUUCUUGUUGGAUGCUCCCAGGACAGAAGGAUCUCUUUCAUAAGAUCACUGAUCCUGUUCUUGAGGGCUCCAUGCUCGUGCCCUAAGCACCUCCCAAAUGUCUCACUUCCUAAUACCAUCACAUUGGGCAUUAGGGUUUCAACAUAUGCAUUUGGGGGUACACCAACAUCCAAACCAUAGCAAUGAAUGAGGCUGUAUUCGUAAGAUAAAGAACACAUUAGAACAGGAGAGGCUGUUUAAGCUCCACUUGUUAAAGUGUCAUGAUUAUAUCUUAAAUUACAAAAAAACACUCACGGGAAAUCUCGACAAUCUUGUCCCUCGAGUUUGAACAAAAGCCCACCACUGUCAAACUGCAGGCUGCUGAGGUCCCAGCUGCCCCCUCUCAGUUACAAAGCCCUCGGGUUCGAUGGUUGCCAUGGAAGUUUAGGUGUUUAGAGUCUCAUCCACUAUGCAGAUGUGACCAUUAAAUAGCACUUCUUUUUUAAAAAUAUCUGCUCCAUAUGCAUAAUAUUAAACGAACAAACAAAACUUCUAUUGGGCAGAGAGAGGAGUGAUUUCAAUGGAUAAAUUAUUAGGUGUUUUAACAAUAUCCCAGAUCUUUUUAACCAAGCAGUCUAAUUACCUACAUUUUUAGCCUAGUCAGUCGUCUACUCAUUCUCUUAUCCUCUCAUUCAUUCACUCACUCACUCAUCCAUUCAUUCAAUAAAUAUUUACUUGUGGCCCAAAAAGUCAAUCACGAUGUGAUCUCUGCCCUCGGGGAGGUCAGGGCUGGCUUAGCUUUCAGCCCAGGUGCUAUGGGAGCAUCUAAACCAGACCAGGGAGCCAGGAAGUUCUCCUGGAAGAGAUGAACCUUGGGCUGAGUUGUCAGGAGCACAAUGUGUAGGCUGAGUAUUUCAGACAUGGGUGGCAUUGAGGAAUGGGGGUCUCACCACAAGCCCUGUGGUUUCCUUGGGGAGCAGAGAAGGUGAUGCUCUAUUUUCCUAUUUCCAUGGCUUCCAUGUGCUGUUGUUCCCUUGCCUAGAAUGUUCUCUUUCCAUUUUUCACCUGAGCAAUAAUUCUCUCUGGAUUCUGAUUUUUCGUCAUAUUUCGAGAAUUUAGAGCCAUGCCUGGCACAUACAGGUACCCAAUAAAUGUUAUUGGGAGAACGAAUGACUUUAAGGCAGUGCAGUCAUCAUAGACUCAAAGGAAUCUAUUCUAACUUCCCUAGAAAUAAGUAGAUGCUCCUCUUUUUAAGCUGGUGGUGGUCUGCAGUUACCUGUAGCACAGAACUGAUCUUUGGCAUUGCAUUGCUGGCUUGCUGCGACCCCAGAGACAGUGACUACUGCGAGGGCAAGUAACGCGUCUUUCGGGGCUGAAGCCUCGGCAUCUGGCACAGGGCUUGGCGAACCGUUGAUGCUCACUCUGUUUUUCUUCAGUACGUGAGUCAAUGUGAGGAGGAAGUAGUCCAGUGUCCUUCAGCAUCUCACGUAAUCAUACUGAGAAGGUAGUUCCCCACCGGGGCAGAGGCUGUUCAUGCAGACACAGGCUCCCCACAGCUCUGGGCUGAUGGAGGAAGCUGGGUCUCUCUGGGCAAAGCCACAGUGCUGCAAGGCCAGAGCAAGGCCGUGUGGUGGCCUGUGCACCGCCCGAGGGCCCACUCCCACAGUGGCUCACAGCGCUGCACGGCCCUUGCCUGAUGCCAUCUGGUCUGGAGCUCCAGGCAUCCAGGCAGACCCACACCUCUCCCAGGCUCCGCCCUGUGGUGACAGGGGUGGUCCAGGUGAGCAGCCCGAGCCUCGGCAGUGGUUUCCCUCAUCCUGAGCUUUCUGUGUUUCCUGUUCCAUCUCUGAUCCCAGGCUCUCUGGAAGCCGUCCCUCUGGGUGUUUUGGUUUGUUGGGACUUUCAUUCCAAAAAUAUUUGUUACCAGUUAUGUGUGUGGUAUUGUCUAGUUGCCAUGGUGAUGUCUGUGCUGGCAGCCAUACCCAGGAAUGUGCGAUGUCUCCUUUGGAACGUGACUUAGAGGAAGCUGGGGCUGAGCUUAGUCUCACAGCCAGGGCCUGUUCACAGGACCCUACCCUGGCACGGGGUAUCAGCUCACCAGGGAGCAAUGCCCAUGUCUUGGAGAUCAGGCAUCAUCUUAUUUCCUCCAUUUUGGUGUCUUUACCGAGCAAAGGCAUACACCCCUGAGACUUACAAGAGGAAAGCCAACAUCUCACGCUCCCCAAAAUAGACAUAAAACCUGACCAUCUCUCCUGAAGCUGCAAUUAUGGAAUCCAAGGGUUUGAAAGAAUCUUAGAGGUCACUUAGUAUGUAAACUCUUCAAUGCACGAAUUCUCUUCUCUGCUAAGCCAGGAGCCAGCAUAUGCUUGGAUACUUUCAGCUAAAGGAAACUCAGACCCUAUAGGUUAGCUAUUUCAAGGCUGGAGAGAUGUGACCUUAAAUUUUAAAAGUGUUUUUUCCCUU